rnacentral:rRNA from 1 species
GUUGUAUGGUUAAGUGACUAAGCGUACACGGUGGAUGCCUUGGCAGUCAGAGGCGAUGAAAGACGUAGUAACUUGCGAUAAGCCCAGAUUAGGUAGUAACAACCAUUUGAGUCUGGGAUUUCUGAAUGGGGAAACCCACGUGCAUAAGCACGUAUCCUUACCUGAAUACAUAGGGUAAGGAGGCGAACCGGGGGAACUGAAACAUCUAAGUACCCCGAGGAAAAGAAAUCAACCGAGAUUCCGAAAGUAGCGGCGAGCGAAAUUGGACUAGCCCUUAAGCUUUACACGCGUUAGACGAACGGUCUGGAAAGUCCGACGAUACAGGGUGAUAGUCCCGUAGUUGACGACGUGUGUUCAGUGAAAUCGAGUAGGGCGGGACACGUGAUAUCCUGUCUGAAUAUGGGGGGACCAUCCUCCAAGGCUAAAUACUACUGACUGACCGAUAGUGAACCAGUACCGUGAGGGAAAGGCGAAAAGAACCCCUGUGAGGGGAGUGAAAUAGAACCUGAAACCGUGUACGUACAAGCAGUAGGAGCAGGCUUUGUCCUGUGACUGCGUACCUUUUGUAUAAUGGGUCAGCGACUUAUAUUCAGUGGCAAGGUUAACCAUCUAGGGGAGCCGUAGGGAAACCGAGUCUUAACUGGGCGUUCAGUCUCUGGAUAUAGACCCGAAACCAGGUGAUCUAGCCAUGGGCAGGUUGAAGGUUGAGUAACAUCAACUGGAGGACCGAACCGACUAAUGUUGAAAAAUUAGCGGAUGACUUGUGGCUAGGGGUGAAAGGCCAAUCAAACCUGGAGAUAGCUGGUUCUCCCCGAAAGCUAUUUAGGUAGCGCCUCGGACGAAUACUACUGGGGGUAGAGCACUGUUAAGGCUAGGGGGUCAUCCCGACUUACCAACCCUUUGCAAACUCCGAAUACCAGUAAGUACUAUCCGGGAGACACACGGCGGGUGCUAACGUCCGUCGUGGAGAGGGAAACAACCCAGACCGCCAGCUAAGGUCCCAAAUUACUACUAAGUGGGAAACGAUGUGGGAAGGCUCAGACAGCCAGGAUGUUGGCUUAGAAGCAGCCAUCAUUUAAAGAAAGCGUAAUAGCUCACUGGUCGAGUCGGCCUGCGCGGAAGAUGUAACGGGGCUAAGUAGUAAACCGAAGCUGCGGCAAUGUGCUUUUGCACAUUGGGUAGGGGAGCGUUCUGUAAGCGGUUGAAGGUGUGUGGUAACGCAUGCUGGACGUAUCAGAAGUGCGAAUGCUGACAUGAGUAACGAUAAAGGGGGUGAAAAACCUCCUCGCCGGAAGACCAAGGGUUCCUGUCCAACGUUAAUCGGGGCAGGGUAAGUCGACCCCUAAGGCGAGGCCGAAAGGCGUAGUCGAUGGGAAACGGGUUAAUAUUCCCGUACUUCUUACAAUUGCGAUGGGGGGACGGAGAAGGCUAGGUGGGCCUGGCGACGGUUGUCCAGGUUCAAGUGCGUAGGCUUAAGAGUUAGGUAAAUCCGGCUCUUUUUAAGGCUGAGACACGACGUCGAGCACCUACGGGUGUGAAGUCAUUGAUGCCAUGCUUCCAGGAAAAGCCUCUAAGCUUCAGAUUGUAAGGAAUCGUACCCCAAACCGACACAGGUGGUCGGGUAGAGAAUACCAAGGCGCUUGAGAGAACUCGGGUGAAGGAACUAGGCAAAAUGGUACCGUAACUUCGGGAGAAGGUACGCUCUUGAUGGUGAAGUCCCUUGCGGAUGGAGCUGACGAGAGUCGCAGAUACCAGGUGGCUGCAACUGUUUAUUAAAAACACAGCACUGUGCAAAAUCGUAAGAUGACGUAUACGGUGUGACGCCUGCCCGGUGCCGGAAGGUUAAUUGAUGGGGUUAGACUUCGGUCGAAGCUCUUGAUCGAAGCCCCGGUAAACGGCGGCCGUAACUAUAACGGUCCUAAGGUAGCGAAAUUCCUUGUCGGGUAAGUUCCGACCUGCACGAAUGGCGUAAUGAUGGCCACGCUGUCUCCACCCGAGACUCAGUGAAAUUGAAAUCGCUGUGAAGAUGCAGUGUACCCGCGGCUAGACGGAAAGACCCCGUGAACCUUUACUACAGCUUGGCACUGAACAUUGACCCUACAUGUGUAGGAUAGGUGGGAGGCUUUGAAGCACGUACGCCAGUAUGUGUGGAGCCGUCCUUGAAAUACCACCCUUGUAGUGUUGAUGUUCUAACGUCGACCCCUUAUCGGGGUUGCGGACAGUGCCUGGUGGGUAGUUUGACUGGGGCGGUCUCCUCCCAAAGAGUAACGGAGGAGCACGAAGGUGGGCUAAUCACGGUUGGACAUCGUGAGGUUAGUGCAAUGGCAUAAGCCCGCUUGACUGCGAGAAUGACAAUUCGAGCAGGUGCGAAAGCAGGUCAUAGUGAUCCGGUGGUUCUGAAUGGAAGGGCCAUCGCUCAACGGAUAAAAGGUACUCCGGGGAUAACAGGCUGAUACCGCCCAAGAGUUCAUAUCGACGGCGGUGUUUGGCACCUCGAUGUCGGCUCAUCACAUCCUGGGGCUGAAGUCGGUCCCAAGGGUAUGGCUGUUCGCCAUUUAAAGUGGUACGCGAGCUGGGUUUAGAACGUCGUGAGACAGUUCGGUCCCUAUCUGCCGUGGGCGUUGGAAGAUUGAAGGGGGCUGCUCCUAGUACGAGAGGACCGGAGUGGACGAACCUCUGGUGUUCGGGUUGUGUCGCCAGACGCAUUGCCCGGUAGCUAAGUUCGGAAUCGAUAACCGCUGAAAGCAUCUAAGCGGGAAGCGAGCCCUGAGAUGAGUCUUCCCUGAUACUUUAAGUAUCCUAAAGGGUUGUCGGAGACUACGACGUUGAUAGGUCAGGUGUGUAAGUGCUGCGAGGCAUUGAGCUAACUGAUACUAAUUGCCCGUGAGGCUUAACCAUACAACACCCAAGGGGUUU